UCAAACUUGGUCAUUUAGAGGAAGUAAAAGUCGUAACAAGGUUUCCGUAGGUGAACCUGCGGAAGGAUCAUUACUGAGGAACUCGCAUCGCUGCUGCUGGCCCUAGGGCAUGUGCACGCGUUGCAAACUCUUCUUCCACACACACCUGUGAACCGUUUAUCGAGUCAAGGGCGGCGUUCGCGUUGCCCUCUCGAAAAACAUUAUACACAACCGUAACAACCCAGAACGAUGUAACAUUGAUAAAAUGUAACAACUUUCAACAACGGAUCUCUUGGCUCUCGCAUCGAUGAAGAACGCAGC
rnacentral:misc_RNA from 1 species